ACCUUCAGCUUCACUAAGAGGGCAAACCACAUCGACCCCUCAUUAAUUCACACAACAAGGCUACGUUUAGUGCAUAUCUCGCUAACCUCUGCUCUGAUCUGAAUUCACACAAAUAUACUAGCAGUAGCAGAAGCUGAUUGAGUACGUCUCAGACAGUUGGAAUCAAGUUUCUGUUUCUGAAGCUUCUCUUAAUCUACCGCCAAGGCAUAUGGUGGUGACAAAACUUCAUCCGAUGGGUUAGAUUGAGAAUACGCAAGUAAUUAUGCAUUCUUUGGUUAAGGAAAGAAUGCUGACAGAGCAAAACAUAUCUAUCCUCCUGCAUAUCUCUCUCAUCUGAAGUCACGGCACGUCAAAUAGUUCAAAUCGAGUCUCUGUUUCUCAAGCUGCUCCUCCUGUCUGCUGUCAAGGCGGUGGUUACAGAACUUCACCCGAUGGGUUAGAUUGGUUCAUCCGCUGCUGCUUUUCUUCUUGGUCUUGGUAGAGAACAUCAUGACUCCUCCCACACGGGCUUUGUGGUGUCACAUUUCACCGGAGUGGCCGUUGUCCGACGCGUUGGUCCCUGAGCAUCCCUCUGCUGUUCGACUACUUCCUCUACAGCGGAGGAGGAUGGCAGAUAAUCAGUGGAUGUACAGUGGUUUUAUCCGUCGGAAUCGAGUAACAUCAGAGUGGAUCGCGAAAACCGAUGUCUAUUUG